rnacentral:rRNA from 1 species
CAUAAUCAUUUGUCUCUUAAAUAGAGACUAGUAUGAACGGCAAGACGGAACUCUACUGUCUCCUUACCCCACCCUCGAAUUUCACUUCCCCGUGAAGAGGCGGGGAUUACUUCGUCAGACGAGAAGACCCUGUCGAGCUUGUAACAAAGUACAAGAAUCUAAGCCUCUAAUUUAAUCCUCUAACUACCCAAAAACUUAAAGUUAAAUUAGAAAAAGAAAUCUUUACUAGUUUUGGUUGGGGCAACCGCGGAGAAAGCUAAACCUCCGCUACCAUAAUUUAAACAAAGAGAAAUACCUCUAAUACAACUAAAGACAAUAAAUGAUCCACCUAGGUGAUCAAAAGAAAAAGUUACCGCAGGGAUAACAGCGUUAUCUUCUUUGAGAGUCCAUAUUGACAAGAAGGUUUGCGACCUCGAUGUUGGAUCGGGACAUCCCAGAGGUGCAGAAGCUUUUAAGGGUUGGUCUGUUCGAAAA